CAGCAGCCGCGGGAAUACGAAGGGUGCAAGCGUUACUCGGAAUUACUGGGCGUAAAGCGUGCGUAGGUGGUGGUUUAAGUCCGUUGUGAAAGCCCUGGGCUCAACCUGGGAAUUGCAGUGGAUACUGGGUCACUAGAGUGUGGUAGAGGAUAGUGGAAUUUCCGGUGUAGCAGUGAAAUGCGUAGAGAUCGGAAGGAACAUUUGUGGCGAAGGCGACUAUCUGGGCCAACACUGACACUGAGGCACGAAAGCGUGGGGAGCAAACAGGAUUAGAUACCCCGUAGUCCCUGUCUCUUAUACA
rnacentral:rRNA from 1 species